AUAGAUGGGAUGUUGCUCGUU
rnacentral:miRNA from 1 species